CUGCUUGUUGUUUCGGUUCUUCUUCUGUGACCUUGCAGGUUUGCCGUUUGACUCGGGGUGUCGACUGACUGCUGUCAGUCGGGAUUUCCUGAGGGGUCACUUUUGGAGAGGUGUCAUGGAGAAGAUGUGGAAAGGCUGAUUACUGCGUGUCUCACCGUGAGCUCUAUUACCUGGUGGUGUUGUCCAUCUUGCGGAGCGGCGGUCGCAGGUGGGCGGAUCUGGGAGAUCAAACCGGGGACCUCUCCGCUGGUAUUCAAAUACCACACAGGCUUUGUAGGCUUGGAGAUUUCAAUGAAAGGGAAUGAGGAGGAGGAGGAGGAGCAGGUGGAGGAAGAGAUGCAGGGUUUGGCGCUGCGCAAUUCUCCAGAAUACCCACAAUGCCCGAGGAGAACCAAUAGAUGGAGCACAGCGUGACAGUGAGGCCAUUGCUGCAGAGUCAGCUACCUCAUCCUCCACAAGUUCCAGCGGCGCCAAGCUAAGCUAGCCCAGGUGGUGGCCGAGCUCCAGGAGCAAGAGGGAAGAGGGAGGAGGCUGGCCCGGGAGAAAGCCCAGAGAGAGUCCCUGGAGCUGGGUGAAGCAAGAGUGAAGCAGGAGGGAGCCCCCCCUGCCUGGAGCUCGGACGACAAGUGGAUGCGACCGAGGAGCUGAUGGGAGAAGAGCUGGGGACGAGGAAGGAGGACAGAGAGAGAGAGAGGUCUGAGGGAGGAGUGGGCAAGGAGGGAGGAGAGGAGCAGAAGAGAGAUGGGAGAAGGCUUUGAGACAAUAAGAUAUUAAACAGGAGUUUCUUGUAUUUCUUUCCAUUUCUUGGGAAGAAAUUGAAAUAUCAAAGCUCUUUCUUGAAAAGAAAUGGAAAGGCGGCAGAGUGAGGAACUGGCGGCAUGUUGGGAAGAGAAAGAGAGAAAGUUCUGAGCCACGAGCUCCUAAACACCAAUAUCGAGUUGGAUGGGCUGAGGAAAUAUCUCAAACAGCUGGAAGGAAGGGAGCAGAGGAGGCAUGGAGAGGAGCUGUCACAACAGCGGCAGGCGGGGAUGCACCAACACCGAGGAGAUCCUUCCAGCAGGAGGACAAAGAGGGGGAAGAGCUGGGCCUCUGGCAGCAGCUCCAGCGGGACAGGAGGAGCUGAGGGGGAGGAGCCGGGAGGAGAAGGAGGAGCCGGGAGGAGGAGGAGGAGCCGGGAGGAGGAGGAGGAGACGCGGCGUGAGCUGGAGCACUCCCGACGCGAGGAGGCGCUGGAGCUCAGCUGCGUCAAGGCAUACCUCCGGCUGCUGACUGACGAGAACGCAGCACUGCAGGAGGAGCAGGGGGCGCUCCUGAGGAGGAGGGAGUGCCCAGAGCGAGGCCAUCUGACCGCCGCGCUAACCCAGGCGUGAGAUGAGCUCCUGCAGGGCCGGCGGCACACCCCUGCCCCCCGCCUGCUCCCCUCGAGACCCUGGCACACCCCGGAGAGGCCGGGGUCUCUGGGUAAAGAGCAGAGAGCGCCCGGGACCCUAGCGCCAACUCACUCGCCUGCCACUCAACCCCCCC
ensembl:lncRNA